rnacentral:ncRNA from 1 species
UGAAGGAUGUUAGAUUUUCUUAAUAUUCUGUACGUUUUCCAGCAGCUUGGCAACAGGACGUUGGCAAGAGCGAAAGCUGAGCCAUGGAUGGCGAAUAUUGAGCGGCUGCGUCAAGAUGUUGUUGAUUUAAUCAGAAUAUUUAGAAAAUCUUAUAUCCGUAA